rnacentral:misc_RNA from 1 species
CACUCUCGCAGCAUAUCUCGACGCCAUGUUGAAAAUGAGCUGCUGCUGACCGUCAAGUACUGUAGCUUCGUAAACAAAAUGGUUGCCGGUGUGAAGGUAGUUAUUCGUGGGAGUUUGCUUCGGAAUUUACCAUCGUUUGCACUACGAGGAAUGGAGGAAAAUCCUCUGGUUAGAAGAAGAACNUCUAGUCNAUCAUUUUCAUCUAGUGGGACACAUUAUUUGGUGGUGGGACUUGGUAACCAUACCAUGCCGGAAACACGGCACAGCAUUGGAAUGACAGUUAUCAAUGAUCUAGCCAACAAGCUGGAAGUAAAGUGGCAACAAAAUAAACGUUUUUCUGGUUUUUACGGCAUUACACAAGUGAAUCAAUUAGAAGUUAUUUUAUUUAAAUCAAAACUUCUAAUGAACAUCAAUGGAAGAAGUGUCUUCAAAAUAGCCUGUGCGUAUAAUAUUCAACCAAGUCAUAUUCUUCUUAUUCAUGAUGAUCUCGAUAAAGUUCUUGGAAAAUAUUCUUUUAAAAAUGGUGGCAGUGCCAGAGGACAUAAUGGAGUCAAGUCAGUACUUACAAGUUUUAAGUCCUGUGACUUUAAGAGGCUUCUGGUUGGAAUCGGAAGGCCUGCCAACAGAUCUCAAGUAGUCGAGUACGUUUUACAGAAGUUNACCGAUCAAGAGAACGAUGUAGUAACUAAUAUCGUUGAUGAGUGUAGUGAACUUGNCCUUAAUCAUCUGAAAGUGUUUGCAUUGGAUCAAAACGCAAGAACACUCAAGAAAUAAUCCUGUGCGGGGUGGGCAGCGCAGUAACAUGGAAAACAUAAAAAAUGGUCAAAUUGACAAAUUUAUGAUUCAAAUCCAAAUCGAAGACUUUAUUUUGAAAAAUUAGAGAUAUCUAGUUUUUCUUUAAGCGUUAAAGAUAUUUUUAUAUUUUUAUUUUCUGUGAAACGCGUGAUUUCUGGGAGAACAAGACUGUGGACAAAUCCAGUAUUCUGAUUGGCUAAUGAAACUAUUGUAUAUUCAAGAUAGAUAAUGGUCGCAUCGAAUGAAUAGUCGAAAAAUGUUGAGAAAAAUUGUUCUUUAUGGUCCUCUUUCGACAAAUUUGCUCUUUGUUUUGUUUGGUANUCCUUCGUAUUUUAAAUGCCCUCGCCAUAAUUACGUCAUGCCAAAACCAACAUUCUGUAAAUUUAAUGGAAAUCAUUUACAUCAAAUUUAUAACCUUUAAAGCGCGCGAUUUUUUUCCAGUGCUGUGACGUNAUUUUGCCGUAAGGCACUCUGUUAAUAUCCGUGUUGUGAUCCGUUGCACAGUCAUACGAAAUCCGCUCUAUUAACGAAUGUUUACAGCAAAUGUUUACACAAAAUACUGAAUAAAUCAGCUGUGCGACCAAUGAGGAGAAAGCAGAUUUUAAAACAACCCAUCUAUUACCGUAUAAAAAGAUAUCUCGUCAGGCAUUUNGAAUGCCGUAUCUAAAAUAGUGCAUUACAUCAUCAUACAUAGAAGAAUUCUAGGAAGUAANUUUAACUGCGUCACUACGCAUUUAAGCUUGAGUAUUCGAGAAGACAAAAUGUCGUCAGGAUUGAGCGCCGGAUUAGCAACGUUUAACAGCUGUAACAAGGCUGGAUCCAUCCCACACUUUACACAACAUCUUUCUCGUUAUCCAAACGACUAUCAGGCCCUCGUCUGGCGAGGUAGGGCGCACAGUAUCAUCGGGAACACUGCAGAGGCAAGAGCUGAUUUCCAAAAAGCUUGUGUGAGCUUUGGUGCAAAGAAGAAUCUCGCUCAAGCACUUUUAGAGCAUAUCAACGGAAAUAUUGCACAGAAAGGUGCUAUUCUUCAAAAUACUGUAAGACAGUACCCAAAUUGUUCAGAAGCAUGGAGUGAACUGGGCAGCCAUACUCAUAAAUCAGAGACCAAAACUGACCCUGCCUUAGCAUAUCUGCAAAAAGCAAGUCACCUUGCAACAGUUAAUAAUGAGGCAAAAGAGCCGUGGUUUCCCUGGUGCAAUCAGGAAAUCGGUGACAUUUACUACUUUGAAAAACAACAAGUAGCUAAUGCGAGGAAAUACUACGAAACCGCCGUUUUGUCAGGAAACACUUUGACUAUUGGCUAUCUUGGGCUAAGUAGAUGCGACAUUCUAGACGACAAUCCUGCGAGGGCCAAGAGAUACUUUUCAACUGCAAAGAGCCUAAACCCAGUUCUUGUAAAGUGUGAGACCUUUGAGAAAUUUAGUGCUGAAUCUCGAGCCCGCUACAAUAUGCUAAAGUUACAAUCCAUGUUUCUUGAAUUGCUUACAGCAUCCAGUGAAUCUCAGACAGUUGAAGAACGACAACCAUCAAGCUCCCAACGCCAACAUGGCGCUACCUCUCGUGCCUACAGAUCAGCCAGUGCAAGUGGAGGUGUUUAUCCUUCACUUCCAAGUUCAAGCCAGCACACAACUCGAGCUGAGAGCGCCUUUACAUCCAGGCAAUCGCCUAUGGGAGCCCAUACCAAUGCAAUUGCAAGCCAGAGUCGUCAAUCUAAAGGAAGAAAAGGGGUACCAGAGAAAGCGAGAGGAUACAGUACUGUUAGAUCUGGUAGGCGAGGUGAUGGCGGAAAUGGCGGAUCUGGAGAUGGAAGCGGAAGUGAUGAGGAAGAAAGCAUGAGUCCAGCAGAAAAGGCCAUACAAACAUGGAAAAAAUUAAAGAAAGAAGCUCCAUCUNGGAGNGAGUAUCAUNGAAUGCAGUUCNUUCAAUCAAAGUGCAAAAACUUCUGGUAUUCGANAAUCGCCUCGAACGUGCGACACGCAGGAGCAUUUUUCAAGAAAUACCUUGAUAGAGGCAACACNAUUGAAUUACUUUGCUCGACCGAUGAAAAUCUGAAGGAUAUGCUUGGCAAGCACGAAUCUGGGAAAUACGGAGUCAUUAAGAAAAGCGACAUGAACGGAAUAUUCUAGAACAAAACACACAGUACAUGACAUAUGCUAAAACACUAAGCAUUCCCUCCAAAUAAGAGGUGACGCAUAUGUAUAUCGGUAGCCAUUUUAGACCCUAUAUUAAGACCCUACAUUAAGACCCUAUAUUAAGAGAAAGAUGUUUUGGUGGAGACGAUCGUUUGGUUAGCUGCCCUCUGCAUGCAUCCACCGUAUUUCUUGGUAAUUAUUGCACACAGACAUUGCAUUACGUAUCCAUAAUUUGUUACUGAAAUUUAUUCUGUAAAAUAGAUUUUGUAGAUUUUAGUGAAUAAAACUGAAUCACAUGGAAA